AUAGAAUACACAUACAUUAUGCAACGUUGCGCAUCUACGGGAAUACUCUAUUAUAUGCGAUAGAUCGCUUCGAGAAACGGAAACUUACAAUUUCUCAGACUCAUCGAUUUAGACGAGGGUUUUUAUAAACAAUGAGACGUUAAUAUUCGUUACGAUAACGAGUCACGAUAAUUUGUAGCAAUUGCCGGAAACAUGCUUUAAAUGCAAGUUCACUCGGGCCUCGUGUACGGGUUCUCUCACCAGUAUUCGUUCAGAGUAUUGAAACCGAGUUGGAAUAACGGACAUCAUUUUUCUGAUAGUAUAUUAUCAUUCUUUUUUUUUUUCGUUUAUCAUAUUUAUAUAAUACAUUAAUAUUAAUGAGAUAUUUAUCUAGAUACGUUCUCCACGUGAUGAAUACGCAUACGAUGCGGAAUACCUCGUCUUUGUAAAUUCAAUUUUCACAUCGAACGAUCGCGGAAAUCGAUUACACGGAAACGACGCGGAAUCGUCGUGAACUAAAAAAACGCAUCGAUGCGGUUAUGCUUUUAGUAUCACGCAUCGCAUCGGGUCGUUACGAACACGAAUUUCUACGUAAUCCAAAAGGGAGUGGGGAUGAGGGGCUAGGCAUCCCCGAUUCGCCAAUGGAGGGGCGAAGAUAAGGAUCUACAGCGGUGUUUAACGUAUCUGGACGGGGUUCCGGAAGCAAUCAAGAUUGGCACGGAGUACAAUUAAUUUCCGGAAGUGGCCGACGGCAGAGCGCGUUCCGCGACCGAUCCUGCCUUUUAAGGACGUCUUCCCCCCUUUUCCCUGCGCACCUCCCCGCGCACCUGACUGAAAAGAAAGCAAGCGUUCCCUCGCCAUGAGAUGGUCGAGGUGGCAACAUUUUUUACUUUUUGUUUUAGACGACACAGGGGCGAGCCGACUCUACGCGACUCUACGAUAUGCAUCGCGCAUAUUAUGAGAAUGGUUUAUGUUCUGUCAUGUUUAAGGUUCUUGGUAGUGGUAGACUGGUGAUAUAUGGCAAGGUAUGGAGAAUAGGGAAAUUAAGAAGUGGCGAGCAGUUAAUAGGUGGUAGGUUUUAUUUUUUGAUCGUUUCACGGUACAAUACACCUCGUGGAUACGUAACAACAUAAAUUUCAUACAUUUCGCGCAUUCCACCGGGUACUCGUACAUACGGUUACGUAGACGGUCCCGUUAAUUUCAAUUUCGCGAAAAUCGACUGGCGCCUACGCCAUCUGGCGAUGGCUAUACGAAACGUUGAAAUAUUUACGCCGCGCACCGUAUACUUGCAAGUAAUACUACGGGUAGAAACUGUUGAUUUAUAGUAAGCUAGACCCUUAACCCUUAAAUGGACAAUGUUGUUUUUAAACAACAUACUAAACAUCACAGAUAAAAUUGACCUUUUUUUAUUUUUUUGUAAUUUUGACAACUAGGAAAAAAAAAUCGUCCAUUUAAGGGUUAAAUCUAAACCUGACAAAAAAAUUGACUAUUAAAACGCCGAUUACGUUUAGCAUUCGCUACAAGCACGGGUAUCGAUGCGAUUGUUACGUUUACUCAAAUUCCUAAGUCUGUUGCAUUUCAAGCAUCUUACAGCAAUUCGUUGUCACUCGUUAUUGAGACAAGCCUUCGUCCGUGAAAAAUGUAGAUUCGUUAAAAAUAAUCGUUCGUUCGAGAUCUGUGCCCGGAUAAGAAAUUUGCCUAUCCGCGUUGAAGGGAGCGCGAGCAACUUCUGUGACUCACUGUGUAUACGUGCGCAGCGCGGAGGUAAGAAACGUGGAAGGUAAUGCCCGGGCACCGAGGUUCGAGUUCCCUUCGCACGAGUCGUGGUGAAAGUCGCUUCGAAUCAGACUAGCGGGCUAUCCCCACCGGGACGUGUCUUCGCGUUAAUGUCGUUUUCCCAUAGAAAUCCCCCGUCGCCUCUCCCUCUAUCCCCCUCAGCGAUCGACUAACGACGCUAUCCACAGGACGACCGCGAAAAUUCCGCCGUAGCUUCCGGUCCAUGCUCACGUUCCGUUCCGCGGAUCGUGUAACGAGCCAACAGCGUCCGGAGAUACUCGCACCGUUGGUAGGUAACACUAUCGAACGGGAUUCGCCGUUGUUUUUCUACGCAUGCCAGAGACGCGACAUCUCGAGUCUCGAGUUUCACCGGUUUGUUCUUCUGUGAGACGCGGUGGUGUUUUCAGUUCGUCUGCGGAGAACUGGUCCGUUUGGAAGGAAGGAAGAGGGGGAGGAGCGCUGAACGGACUCGACGCUAUGUGUUUAUUUACCUCGCGCUCCUUCGACCGGUGCGAAGGAAUCGUGUAGGAAUCGAUCAUUUCACAGUAGAAACUACACGCGUGUUUUCUCUCGGACAAGCAUUUCGACGGAUUCUAGAGCAGUGUCUCUCAAACGUCAGCUUCCCGCAGGUGACGAAAGGAGCGUAUAGAAAUAGGUAUAGAAGUUACUCGUACACGGUCCGUCUAAAAAGAAACCGAACUUUUGCUAUAAAAAGAAAAAAGUACAAAAGUUUAUUUAGUCAAAAUAAUCUCCCACUGCGUCAAUACAGCGUGUAGACCGCGUAAUUAACAUUUCGAAGGACCUUUACAGCUCCUAUUUUGGUAGCCCGUUUAGUAUGGCGGUUACAGCGGUCUGAAUCUCCGAAAUGUUGCUAUGAUGUGUCCCUUUCGUUGGAAUUGACAUUGUUACCUUGGAUCAUUCACCCUACUCGCCUGAUCUGUCUCCCUGCGAUUAUUUUCUUUUCCCAAAAUUGAAAGUUGAAAAUUGAAAAUUCCAAUGAAAGGGACACAUUACCAAAACAGGAGCUGCAAAGGUCCUUCGAAAUGUUAAUUACGCGGCCUAUACGCUGUAUUGACGCAGACGGAGAUUAUUUCGAGUAAAUUAAACGUGUGUGUAAAAACUUUACUUGUACUUUUUUCUUUGUAUAGCAAAAGUUCGGUUUCUUUUUAAACAGACGGUGUAUAUAUAUAUAUGUCGAUAUUAUUAUUUAGAAGAUUAUGUUUACCAAAAUACUUUGUAGGAACUUCAAGGGCUGUUAAAUACGCGUUGCUUUAGCAGGAGUUUACUGGUUUACGGACGAGUCCAUGUCGGGAACAGCUUUUAGCGACGUAACCAAGGAGUAAUUCCGCGACAACGAGCAUCCACGCGAGAGUGCGUUCUCUUUCAGGCGUCCACGCAACAGGUACGAGCCACCACCGAUCGACGCACUUAUGCGUUAUUGUUGCGUAAUCGCGGCCUAGUUAGCGCCACCAGGCAACUGUGAUAUUCCCAAAUACAAUUUCGUACAAGCAAGUAUCCUGGCAAGCCUCCCCGACACCUAACCUCUUGGACGAAAGCAAAAUUUUGUAGCCUAAGCAACUGGGUUGACGUCGAUAAUAACAACGAAUACUUGGCGUAGAUCGUACACGUAGAAUUGUAGAUGCAGAAUUGUAGAUGCAGAAACAAUAACGUAAACGAAUAAUGGCGUAGGCUUGUGGCUCGCACUGGCAUUAACGGCGUAUGCAAAUUGCUAGGCGUAAGCGAAAGACGUGGACGAGUAAAAACGCCUCCCCGAGAAAUGUCUGCGCGUCGAUUUGCGUAAUUGACCAGUAAAAUGGUUCCAAAUACGCGAUUUGCGUCGGGGAUUUCACUUCCAGUCGCCCUGGCCGUUUUACCGCGAUCCAUACACCGCAAGAGUGUACUACUACUCGAAACUACUACUAGAAGCUAUUUCGCGGUACAGUAUUUACUACCAGGAAAGACGAAGUGUCUUUAAAAUACUUUGAAGAAAUUAAUCGAAAGUACUACACGAAUUAUUUUUGCAUUCUUAGAAAAAGUCUCUUUAAGACAGAUGGCAAAAAAAAAAUGAAGAGUGCCUGUUUUUGCCCGACUCUUGAGUUCCUGGCACGCUAGGGUUCUGGUCGGUGGAAGAGAAGAGAGCGUCACAAUGCACGAAAGUGCCCAGGCCUCGGUCUAUUCAUGGAAAAAAUGAAAACGCACGGCUGGAUAGCGAAAAUAGCGAAAGUGGUUUCACCUGGGGCCACACGUUUGUUACGCUACUAUCUCUCCCGGGUCGUCUUGGACUCGUAAAGUCUCUCUCGCUUUCCCUCGGUCGGUGAGCACAUUUCACGCGAAGAUCUUGUCUAUGACGAGCCGGUCGGAGGAACCGAAGGAACGAGCCACGCCAGCUAUUAACCCCGUCCGCUUUUCCAAUCGAGGAUCUUAGGGCCGCGGUUGCAAAAGAACGCCAUUAGCAUGGAAGCACGCAACGCCCACACACACGUCCGUACGUCGUGCGCAUUGACUAAUCGUCGAACCGUGCAUCGGAUGCUCGAGCGGAACCGCGAAUGAAGCGAUUAUGUCACGUUAACCAGGGCCCUGCGACGAACAGGAGACCCUGGGAGUGGAAGCUGAACGUUCCCCAUACUAAUGCGGCGUCAGAACUCCUCGAUGAGUCCUCGAUCUAAUGUUAUAAUGUAUAGAUACAAAGUUCCUACUUGUGCAUG